ensembl:lncRNA
CAAGUUAAUUGAGAGAAUUUAUUUGGUCCUGACAGUUUUAUGCAUGUUUGAUUAAGUAUUAUAAGGUUUGUUUUUGAUUUUGCAUAAUUUAACUUUAAAUCCUGAGCUGGGGGGGGGGCAUCAACUAUUAAUGACCAAAAUAAACUCCUUUAGGAUGCAUAUAUUUAUGAUUUAUUUCUAAAUGCAAUAUCUCCCAGAUUUUUUUUGUUCUGUUGCCAAAGUGACAAAUAUGUUUAAAGUAAUGUUUUGAGCAGUUCGGUUCACGCCAUAAAUCUCACGAAAUGUAUACAAUUCAUUAAAAGUUUUGAAAGAAGUACAAGUUAGCAUUUAUAUUGCAACAAGUGACAUAUAAAUGUGUAUGUUUGUCUUUGAAGCGUGCCAUAAAAUAUAUCAGCAGCAGCUAGCUGCUGUGACUGGUACUAAUGGCCCGCACUCGGCGCCGAUGAUAAGUUUCAUCACAAAUCUUCAAUGCUGUCAACACAAAACUGUUCAAUCAACAGGAAUAUGAGUUGUGUCUUUAGUAAAAUUAGCACAGGGAAGAAAUACAGCCCAGAGCCCCGCUGGAGUGCUGGGGGCGGGUUCUCUUUGGGCUGAAGCACAGACGUCUGCUCAGGACCUCACCUCUCUGAAUGUCAGAGCUUCACUUCAUGCCUGCCCAAGGACUGAGCGUUUUUUAUGAAGGCAUGUAUUCAUUUGAGCAGGUCAGCGUAUUUCAGGCUGGAAACUGAGUACUGCCGCCUUGCUUUUUUGUCAUCCUGACCUAAGCAAGGAAAAGGGGUGGUCUUGGCACCCAUGUUGUGGUGUCAUCCCCUGUGCACACAUGCUGGGGUUGUGCUGUCUGGGUGCUACUGGAGGCUGUGGAAGGCUUUGUCUGCCUGGAGGGAUUCCCGCAGGAUGCCGGAGCCCCCUCUUUGCAGUACAUGCAUUCAGCAGCAUCCCCAUCUUUCUCCAAGCCGGAACUUUCGGUGCCUUCUCGGCCUCCCAGAAGUCCGUGUUGCAGUGCUCGUUGUCGCUGCUCCCUCCCUACACGUUGGGACUCAUGCCUGAGCCACGGCACAGAGCCUGCCUCUGAGCACGAGGGCCCUGAAGGGUGACUCGGAGAAGCCCUGGCCCCGCUCUUCUUGCAGAUUAUCACCGAUUUACAACCCCGGCAUUUUCCCACUGCGGAUGUUCCUGCACCUCGUGGACUCAGCCCAGCGCAGGGCCGCGUGAGCCGUGAUACGGGUGAGUGGCGCUGGGCCCGGCUGCCCUGCGAAGCACCGCACGGUG